GAUGAUGGCAGAGAGGUCACACCCGUUCCCAUACCGAACACGGAAGUUAAGCUCUCUAGCGCCGAUGGUAGUUGGGACCUUGUCCCUGUGAGAGUAGGACGUCGCCAAGC
rnacentral:rRNA from 7 species